rnacentral:pre_miRNA from 1 species
CCACCUGAAAAUUUGUCUCAACCUCGUCAUUCAAAAUAGGUGAGCAAAGUUUCAGGUGCCU